GACAGGUGCUGCAUGGCUGUCGUCAGCUCGUGUCGUGAGAUGUUGGGUUAAGUCCCGCAACGAGCGCAACCCUUAUCCUUAUUUGCCAGCACGUAAUGGUGGGAACUCUAAGGAGACUGCCGGUGACAAACCGGAGGAAGGAGAGGAUGAUGUCAAGUCAUCAUGGCCCUUACGGCCUGGGCUACACACGUGCUACAAUGGGAAGUACAGAGGGCCGCAAUACUGCAAAGUGGAGCAAAUCCCAGAAAACUUCUCGUAGUCCGGAUUGGAGUCUGCAACUCGACUCCAUGAAGUCGGAAUCGCUA
rnacentral:rRNA from 1 species